rnacentral:rRNA from 1 species
UGAGGAAUAUUGCGCAAUGGACGGAAGUCUGACGCAGCAACGCCGCGUGGGCGAUGAAGGCCUUCGGGUCGUAAAGCCCUUUUCUGGGGGACGAGGAAGGACGGUACCUCAGGAAUCAGUCUCGGCUAACUACGUGCCAGCAGCCGCGGUAAAACGUAGGAGGCAAGCGUUAUCCGGAUUUAUUGGGCGUAAAGCGCAUGCAGGUGGUUUUACAAGUCGGAUGUGAAAGCUCCUGGCUUAACUGGGAGAGGUCGUUCGAAACUGUAAGACUGGAGGUCGGAAGAGGGAAGCGGAAUUCCCGGUGUAGUGGUGGAAUGCGUAGAUAUCGGGAGGAACACCAGUGGCGAAAGCGGCUUCCUGGUCCGAUUCUGACACUCAGAUGCGAAAGCGUGGGGAGCGAACAGG